rnacentral:rRNA from 1 species
CGUAGGGUGCAAGCGUUAAUCGGAAUUACUGGGCGUAAAGCGUGCGCAGGCGGUCGUGCAAGACAGAUGUGAAAUCCCCGGGCUCAACCUGGGAACUGCAUUUGUGACUACACGGCUGGAGUGCGGCAGAGGGGGAUGGAAUUCCGCGUGUAGCAGUGAAAUGCGUAGAUAUGCGGAGGAACACCGAUGGCGAAGGCAAUCCCCUGGGCCUGCACUGACGCUCAUGCACGAAAGCGUGGGGAGCAAACAGGAUUAGAUACCCUGGUAGUCCACGCCCUAAACGAUGUCAACUGGUUGUUGGGAGGGUUCCUUCUCAGUAACGUAGCUAACGCGUGAAGUUGACCGCCUGGGGAGUACGGCCGCAAGGUUG